rnacentral:rRNA from 1 species
GACGAACGCUGGCGGCGUGCCUAAUACAUGCAAGUUGAGCGCUGAAGGUUGGUACUUGUACCAACUGGAUGAGCAGCGAACGGGUGAGUAACGCGUGGGGAAUCUGCCUUUGAGCGGGGGACAACAUUUGGAAACGAAUGCUAAUACCGCAUAAAAACUUUAAACACAAGUUUUAAGUUUGAAAGAUGCAAUUGCAUCACUCAAAGAUGAUCCCGCGUUGUAUUAGCUAGUUGGUGAGGUAAAGGCUCACCAAGGCGAUGAUACAUAGCCGACCUGAGAGGGGGGAUGGCACCACUGGGGAGGGGAACAGGCCCCAAACUCCUGGGGGGGGGCCCGAGAGGGAAUUUUCGGCAAAGGGGGAAAGUCCGACCGCGCAACCCCGGGGGAGUGAAAAAGGUGUUGGGAUGGGAAAAUUCUUUUGGUAAAAAAGAAGGUUGGUGAGAGUGGAAAGCUCAAAAAGGGACGGUAACCAACCAGAAAGGGCCGGCUAACUACGU